UACGUAGGUCCCGAGCGUUGUCCGGAUUUAUUGGGCGUAAAGCGGGCGCAGGUGGUUUAUUAAGUCUGGUGUAAAAGGCAGUGGCUCAACCAUUGUAUGCAUUGGAAGCUGGUAGACUUGAGUGCAGGAGAGGAGAGUGGAAUUCCAUGUGUAGCGGUGAAAUGCGUAGAUAUAUGGAGGAACACCGGUGGCGAAAGCGGCUCUCUGGCCUGUAACUGACACUGAGGCUCGAAAGCGUGGGGAGCAAACAGG
rnacentral:rRNA from 1 species